AACGCGAAGAACCUUACCUGGGUUUGACAUGGAUCGGGAGUGCUCAGAGAUGGGUGUGCCUCUUUUGGGGUCGGUUCACAGGUGGUGCAUGGCUGUCGUCAGCUCGUGUCGUGAGAUGUUGGGUUAAGUCCCGCAACGAGCGCAACCCUUGUUCACUGUUGCCAGCACGUUAUGGUGGGGACUCAUGGAGACCGCCGGGGUCAACUCGGAGGAAGGUGGGGAUGACGUCAAGUCAUCAUGCCCCUUAUGUCCAGGGCUUCAGCAUGCUACAAUGGCUGGUACAAGAGUGGCGAGCCUGUGAGGGUGAGCGAAUCUCGGAAACCGGUCUCAGUUGGAUUGGGGUUGCAACUGCCUCAUGAAGUCGGAGUCGCUAGUAAUCGCAGUCAGCAACGC
rnacentral:rRNA from 1 species